GCCAGCAUAGCAUAGUGGUUUGAGCAUUGGAAUAGAACUCUGGAGACCAGGGUUUGAAUCCCAGCUCAGCCA